GAGGAUAUAGUUCAGUGGUAGAGCGUAUGCUUAGCAUGCACAAGGUCCUGGGUUCAAUCCCCAGUACCUCCA
rnacentral:tRNA from 1 species